UCCAGUGUCCUGAGGGUUAAACCACUUAUAUGUACUUGGACUAUGCUGCCUUUUCGCUAAGGUGUUUGCCAGAGCGGGGAAGGAUUUGCUAGAUGUUUCAGUGAUAUGGAGUGGAUUUGGGUACAUUACAUUCAUCCCCUAUUGAGCACCUGCAGGCAGAACAUAAUGGGAAUACAUAUUUUGAAAUUUUAUCUCAAUCUUGUCACCCAGGAGUGGGUAUUACCUACUGCUUCUUUCAUUGUAAGGUUGCUCAUGAGCUCUUAUUGGCUUACCAACCUUGACAGUGUCCCUUGGAGUAGUUUAAGCACUUAAAAGUUUAUUGGAGGUGGAUGUAAGAAUAAUAAAACAAGUUUUAUUAGGAUAGUACAUCACGCUGUGAGACCAGGAGUACAAGUGGCUAUGAGAUUCAGAGAAGCUCAAGGGACAGGCUACUGAGCUAGCCGUGAUCAGGGAAUACCAGAGGCAUACACUGUUAUCUUCAGCGUGAACCUGCAGAGCUCCAUGCAAGGAUGUGUGCGUUUAUCAUAAUUAUGUGGUAUCAAGGCCAUAGUCCCAGGAACUCCAGGCGUUGCACAAAGAAGCAAGUAACAAAGUUUACAUUGCAGGAAGCACCCAGGAAUACUAUGGCUGAGUAGCAGCGUAGAGGACUGAAGGGG